GGGUCAGUAGGUUGGUCGUGCCACCGGUACGUACUGGUCUCACUGAUUCCUCCUUCCUGAAGAACCGUAAUGCCAUUCAUUUGGUGUUGCGGGGAAACAGGACUGUUACUUUGAAAAAAUUAGAGUGUUUAAAGCAAGCUGACGCUUGAAUACAUUAGCAUGGAAUAAUGAAAUAGGACGAUCGAUCCUAUUUUGUUGGUUUCUAGGAUUGACGUA
rnacentral:rRNA from 1 species